UUUCCGUAGGUGAACCUGCGGAAGGAUCAUUAAAGAGAAUAUGCCCUUCGGGGUAGAUCUCCCACCCUUUGUUUAUAUUACCUUUGUUGCUUUGGCAGGCCCGUCUUCGGACCACCGGCUUCGGCUGGUCGGUGCUUGCCAGAGGACCCAAAACUCUUAUUAUUAAUGUCGUCUGAGUACUAUAUAAUAGUUAAAACUUUCAACAACGGAUCUCUUGGUUCUG
rnacentral:misc_RNA from 1 species